rnacentral:rRNA from 1 species
UACGGAGGAUGCAAGCGUUAUCCGGAAUGAUUGGGCGUAAAGCGUCCGCAGGUGGCAAUGUAAGCCUGCUGUCAAAGCGUCUGGCUCAACCAGAUAAAGGCAGUGGAAACUACAUAGCUAGAGUAAGGUAGGGGUAGAGGGAAUUCCUGGUGUAGCGGUGAAAUGCGUAGAGAUCAGGAAGAACACCGGUGGCGAAAGCGCUCUGCUGGACCUUAACUGACACUGAGGGACGAAAGCUAGGGGAGCGAAUGGG